rnacentral:rRNA from 1 species
CUCAGAUUGAACGCUGGUGGCAGGCAUAACACUUGCAAGUCGAGCGGUAGCACAGGGAGCUUGCUCCUGGGUGACGAGCGGCGGACGGGUGAGUAAUGUCUGGGAAAGCUGCUUGAUGGACGGGGGAUAACUACUGGAAACGGUAGCUAAUACCGCAUAACGUCUACGGACCAAAGUGGGGGACCUUCGGGCCUCAUGCCAUCAGAUGUGCCCAGAUGGGAUUAGCUAGUAGGUGGGGUAAUGGCUCACCUAGGCGACGAUCCCUAGCUGGUCUGAGAGGAUGACCAGCCACAUUGGAACUGAGACACGGUCCAGACUCCUACGGGAGGCAGCAGUGGGGAAUAUUGCACAAUGGGCGCAAGCCUGAUGCAGCCAUGCCGCGUGUGUGAAGAAGGCCUUCGGGUUGUAAAGCACUUUCAGCGAGGAGGAAGGGUUCAGUGUUAAUAGCACUGUGCAUUGACGUUACUCGCAGAAGAAGCACCGGCUAACUCCGUGCCAGCAGCCGCGGUAAUACGGAGGGUGCAAGCGUUAAUCGGAAUUACUGGGCGUAAAGCGCACGCAGGCGGUUUGUUAAGUCAGAUGUGAAAUCCCCGCGCUUAACGUGGGAACUGCAUUUGAAACUGGCAAGCUAGAGUCUUGUAGAGGGGGGUAGAAUUCCAGGUGUAGCGGUGAAAUGCGUAGAGAUCUGGAGGAAUACCGGUGGCGAAGGCGGCCCCCUGGACAAAGACUGACG